AACGAACGCUGGCGGCAGGCCUAAUACAUGCAAGUCGAACGCUUGUAGCAAUACAAGAGUGGCGCACGGGUGAAUAACACGUGGGAAUAUGCCUUUUGGUACGGGACAACCUCGGGAAACUGAGGCUAAUACCGUAUGGUCCCUUCGGGGUAAAGAUUUAUCGCCAAAAGAUUAGCCCGCGUCUGAUUAGCUAGUUGGUGAGGUAACGGCUCACCAAGGCGACGAUCAGUAGCUGGGCUGAGAGGACGAUCAGCCACACUGGGACUGAGACGCGGGCCAGACUCCUACGGGAGGCAGCAGUAGGGAAUAUUGGACAAUGGGCGCAAGCCUGAUCCCGCCAUGCCGCGUGAGUGAUGAAGGCCUUCGGGUUGUAAAACUCUUUAGCCCGCGAAUAAAAUGACUGUAGCGGGAAAAUAAGCCCCGGCUAACUUCGUGCCAGCAGCCGCGGUAA
rnacentral:rRNA from 1 species